rnacentral:rRNA from 1 species
CCCGUAGCAAUACGGGAGCGGCAGACGGGAGAGUAACACGUGGGAACGUACCCUUCAGUUCGGAACAACCAAGGGAAACUUUGGCUAAUACCGGAUACGUCCGUAAGGAGAAAGAUUUAUCGCUGAAGGAUCGGCCCGCGUCUGAUUAGCUAGUUGGUGAGGUAACGGCCCACCAAGGCGACGAUCAGUAGCUGGUCUGAGAGGAUGAUCAGCCUCAUUGGGACUGAGACACGGCCCAA